rnacentral:rRNA from 1 species
AUACGUAGGGUGCAAGCGUUAAUCGGAAUUACUGGGCGUAAAGCGUGCGCAGGCGGUUUUGUAAGACAGUGGUGAAAUCCCCGGGCUCAACCUGGGAACUGCCAUUGUGACUGCAAGGCUGGAGUGCGGCAGAGGGGGAUGGAAUUCCGCGUGUAGCAGUGAAAUGUGUAGAUAUGCGGAGGAACACCGAUGGCGAAGGCAAUCCCCUGGGCCUGCACUGACGCUCAUGCACGAAAGCGUGGGGAGCAAACAGGAUUAGAUACCCUGGUAGUCCACGCCCUAAACGAUGUCAACUGGUUGUUGGGGAUUUAUUUUCUCAGUAACGAAGCUAACGCGUGAAGUUGACCGCCUGGGGAGUACGGCCGCAAGGUUAAAACUCAAAUGAAUUGACGGGG